rnacentral:rRNA from 1 species
GUCGAGCGAAUGGAUUAAGAGCUUGCUCUUAUGAAGUUAGCGGCGGACGGGUGAGUAACACGUGGGUAACCUGCCCAUAAGACUGGGAUAACUCCGGGAAACCGGGGCUAAUACCGGAUAACAUUUUGAACCGCAUGGUUCGAAAUUGAAAGGCGGCUUCGGCUGUCACUUAUGGAUGGACCCGCGUCGCAUUAGCUAGUUGGUGAGGUAACGGCUCACCAAGGCAACGAUGCGUAGCCGACCUGAGAGGGUGAUCGGCCACACUGGGACUGAGACACGGCCCAGACUCCUACGGGAGGCAGCAGUAGGGAAUCUUCCGCAAUGGACGAAAGUCUGACGGAGCAACGCCGCGUGAGUGAUGAAGGCUUUCGGGUCGUAAAACUCUGUUGUUAGGGAAGAACAAGUGCUAGUUGAAUAAGCUGGCACCUUGACGGUACCUAACCAGAAAGCCACGGCUAACUACGUGCCAGCAGCCGCGGUAAUACGUAGGUGGCAAGCGUUAUCCGGAAUUAUUGGGCGUAAAGCGCGCGCAGGUGGUUUCUUAAGUCUGAUGUGAAAGCCCACGGCUCAACCGUGGAGGGUCAUUGGAAACUGGGAGACUUGAGUGCAGAAGAGGAAAGUGGAAUUCCAUGUGUAGCGGUGAAAUGCGUAGAGAUAUGGAGGAACACCAGUGGCGAAGGCGACUUUCUGGUCUGUAACUGACACUGAGGCGCGAAAGCGUGGGGAGCAAACAGGAUUAGAUACCUGGUAGUCCA